rnacentral:rRNA from 1 species
ACUGAGAUACUGGUCCCAGCCCCACGGGGUGCAGCAGUCGCGAAAACUCCGCAAUGCGCGAAAGCGUGACGGGGGGAUUCUGAGUGCUUCGGUUUCACCGAGGCUUUUCGUGAGAGUAAACAUCUCGCGGAAUAAGUGGUGGGCAAGACCGGUGCCAGCCGCCGCGGUAACCCCGGCGCCACAAGUGGGAACCACGUUUAUUGGGUCUAAGGCAUCCGUAGCCGGCUUGUUAAAUGCCCUGUGAAAUCGUUCCGCCCAACGGGACGGCGUGCAGGGUAGACUGGCAAGCUUGGAACCAGGAAAGGUAUGCGGUAUUCAGCGGGGAACGGUAAAAUGUUAUAAUCCGCUGAGGACCACCGAUGGCGAAGGCAGCAUACUUGAAUGGAUUCGACGGUGAGGGAUGAAAGCCAGGGGAGCGAUCCGGAUUAGAUACCCGAGUAGUCCUGGCCGUAAACGCUGCGUGCAAGAUGUUGCACAAUCCUCGCGAUUGUGCAGUGUCGCAACGAAGGUGUUAAGCACGGGGAGCACCACAAGGGGUGCGGCGUGCGGUUUAAUUGAAUUCAACGCCGGAAAUCUCACCAGGGGCGACGGCAGAAUGAAGGACAGUCUAAAGGGCUUUCCUGACGAGCCGAGAGGUGCUGCAUGGCCGGCGUCAGCUCGUGCCGUGAGGUGUCCUGUCAAGUCAGGCAACGAGCGAGACCUGCAUUCUUAUUUGCCACCGUGUCCGCAAGGACGAGCGAGCACAAUAAGAAGACUGCUUCGGAAACGGAGAGGAAGGUGCAGGCUACGCCAGGUCUGUACGGCCCGAAUCUCCUGGGCUACACGCGCGCAACAAUGGUUGGGACAAUGGGAUGCAACGCCGAAAGGCGAAGCUAAACCUCGAAACCCAAUCUUAGUUCGGAUUGAGGGUUGCAACUCACCCUCAUGACGUCGGAAUCCCUAGUAAUCAGACGUUAGCAUCGUCCGGUGAAUAUGUCCCUGCUCCUUGCACACACCGCCCGUCAAACCAACCGAGCAGGCUCCAGAUGAGCCGCAUUGAGUAAAUGCGCCGAAUCUGAGGUCAGUGAGGUGGGUUAAGUCGUCACAAGGUAUCCGUAGGGGAACCUGCGGAUG